CCAUAUCACCCUGCAGCCCAAGACUGGUUGCCCACUGAAGCUAAGCAGGGUUGAGCCUGGUCAGUACCUGGAUGGGAGACCUCCUGGGAAAACUAGGUUG
rnacentral:rRNA from 1 species